GUGGGAGCUGGCUUGCCUGCGAGGCAGACACCUCGGUCUUCCAGAUGCACCGAGGCGAUCCAAUCGCAGGCAAGCCAGCUCCCAC
rnacentral:misc_RNA from 1 species